UGGGGAAUCUUGCACAAUGGGGGAAACCCUGAUGCAGCGACGCCGCGUGAGCGAUGAAGCCCUUCGGGGUGUAAAGCUCUUUCGGCAGGGAAGAUUAUGACGGUACCUGCAGAAGCAGCUGCGGCUAACUACGUGCCAGCAGCCGCGGUAAUACGUAGGCAGCGAGCGUUGUUCGGAAUUACUGGGCGUAAAGGGUGUGUAGGCGGUUCUCUAAGUUCGGUGUGAAAUCUCCCGGCUCAACUGGGAGGGUGCGCCGAGGACUGGAGGACUAGAGUGCGGGAAAGGAGAGUGGAAUUCCUGGUGUAGCGGUGAAAUGCGUAGAGAUCAGGAGGAACACCGGCGGUGUAAACGGCUCUCUGGACCGUAACUGACGCUGAAACACGAAAGCGUGGGGAGCAAACAGG
rnacentral:rRNA from 2 species